CAAGUAGCGGUGAAAUGCAUAGAUAUGUCACAGAACACCAAUUGCGAAGGCAGCUUGCUAAAGUAUGAUUGACGCUGAGGCACGAAAGCGUGGGGAUCAAACAGGAUUAGAUACCCUGGUAGUCCACGCCCUAAACGAUGAAUACUCGAUGUUGGCGAUAUACAGUCAGCGUCAAAGCGAAAGCGUUAAGUAUUCCACCUGGGGAGUACGCCCGCAAGGGUGAAACUCAAAGGAAUUGACGGGGGCCCGCACAAGCGGAGGAGCAUGUGGUUUAAUUCGAUGAUACGCGAGGAACCUUACCCGGGCUUGAAAGUUAGUGAAUAAUUCAGAGACGAAUUAGUCCUUCGGGACACGAAACUAGGUGCUGCAUGGCUGUCGUCAGCUCGUGCCGUGAGGUGUUGGGUUAAGUCCCGCAACGAGCGCAACCCCUGUGUUUAGUUGCCAGCAUGUAAAGGUGGGGACUCUAAACAGACUGCCUAUGCAAAUAGAGAGGAAGGAGGGGACGACGUCAAGUCAUCAUGGCCCUUACGUCCGGGGCUACACACGUGCUACAAUGGGCAGUACAGAGGGCAGCUACCGUGUAAGCGGAUGCCAAUCUCAAAAAGCUGUUCACAGUUCGGAUCGGGGUCUGCAACUCGACCCCGUGAAGUUGGAUUCGCUAGUAAUCGCAGAUCAGCAAUGCUGCGGUGAAUACGUUCCCGGGCCUUGUACACACCGCCCGUCAAGCCAUGGAAGCUGGGGGUGCCUGAAGUGCGUAACCGCAAGGAGCGUCCUAGGGUAAAACCGGUAACUGGGGCUAAGUCGUAACAAGGUAACC
rnacentral:rRNA from 1 species